rnacentral:rRNA from 1 species
UAGGGAAUCUUCCACAAUGGACGCAAGUCUGAUGGAGCAACGCCGCGUGAGUGAAGAAGGUUUUCGGAUCGUAAAGCUCCGUUGUUGGUGAAGAAGGAUAGAGGCAGUAACUGGUCUUUAUUUGACGGUAAUCAACCAGAAAGUCACGGCUAACUACGUGCCAGCAGCCGCGGUAAUACGUAGGUGGCAAGCGUUGUCCGGAUUUAUUGGGCGUAAAGCGAGCGCAGGCGGAAUGAUAAGUCUGAUGUGAAAGCCCACGGCUCAACCGUGGAACUGCAUCGGAAACUGUCAUUCUUGAGUGCAGAAGAGGAGAGUGGAACUCCAUGUGUAGCGGUGGAAUGCGUAGAUAUAUGGAAGAACACCAGUGGCGAAGGCGGCUCUCUGGUCUGCAACUGACGCUGAGGCUCGAAAGCAUGGGUAGCGAACAGGAUUAGAUACCCUGGUAGUCCAUGCCGUAAACGAUGAGCGCUAGGUGUUGGGGACUUUCCGGUCCUCAGUGCCGCAGCAAACGCAUUAAGCGCUCCGCCUGGGGAGUACGACCGCAAGGUUGAAAC